UACGGAGGGGGCUAGCGUUGUUCGGAAUUACUGGGCGUAAAGCGUACGUAGGCGGCUUUGUAAGUUAGAGGUGAAAGCCUGGAGCUCAACUCCAGAAUUGCCUUUAAGACUGCAUCGCUUGAAUCCAGGAGAGGUGAGUGGAAUUCCGAGUGUAGAGGUGAAAUUCGUAGAUAUUCGGAAGAACACCAGUGGCGAAGGCUGCUUACUGGACUGGUAUUGACGCUGAGGUGCGAAAGCGGGGGGAGCAAACAGG
rnacentral:rRNA from 1 species